rnacentral:rRNA from 1 species
GGGUGCGAUCAUACCGGCGUUAAUACACCGCAUCCCAUCAUAACUCCACAGUUAAGUGCGCUUGGGCUAGAGUAGUACUGGGAUAGGUGACCUCCCGGGAAGUCCUAGUGUGGCACCCU